AACCAGCCCUUUGCUUCCCAAAGUGCAGGUCACACGUGAAGGUGGUUUUAGGUGGUACCUAGAAGAUAACGUUUUAUUCUAGCAGUUAUGUAAUUAUCUCAAUGAGUAUUAGAAAAAAUGUGACUAGCACAUAAACUCCAUGAUUGCAUGGAUGUUAUUAACAUUGAGGAUAAGUAGGAGGGAAGGGAGUAUAUGUAAAGAAAAAUAUUAAUAAAAGUACAAAUGGCACUCAGAAAUGGUAGAAAUGUUAGAAGUGCUGUGUACCAAUUAUGUUGGUUUAGGACCCCUGAGGCCAUUGACAUCUAAGGUACCUUCAGAUCUGACAUUUGUAAACUACUUGGCCUUCUCCAGAUUUCAGCCUCCCGUGGGCCGAGGGGCGUGUACGUACUGACAGGGGCUCUCAGGGCUCUGCCGGUGGGGUGGGGCCACGGUGGCUCAAACCGGGCACCAGAUGGAUGCUUGCCCACCCCAGAAGGACUGUGGUGGCCAGGAGGGUGGCAGUGAGCCAGACUGCCAGGUCCAAGUCCCAGUGCUGACGCUUCUGGGCUGCAUAAAUGUGGGCAAAUUAAUCUGUUUUCACUCCCUCAGCUGAAAAAUGGGAAUAGUAACUUAUAGGGGCAGUGCAAGGGGUCAAUGUGAGUGCGUGUGUGUGUGCAGCCUGCCCGUGGUAAGUACUCAGUGGGUAGGUUGUGUCUUUGUGACAGAAUGGAGUGUCCCACUGCUGCUGAGCAGGGUCCCUUCGGCGCCUCAGCCCCCUUCCCGGGCCUGUCCUGUCUGCAAGGAAGCCGUGUAGAAUUCACCGUGAAUGGGGUGACAAAGCAGAAGCCAGGGCACGGGUGUUCCUGCUUCCACCUCAGGCCUUCCCCCAGGUCGGCAGGCUUUGCCAGCGCUGGGCUCUUGCUUCUCGGAAAGCAAAGCCAGCUGCUUGCGUGUCCUUGGGCAGACCCUUCCCUCUCUGGUUCCGGUUUCCUCUGGCAUCAGGCGCUUCUCUGUGGGCACCCUCCCCGGGCCCGGAACUGUCCCAGGAGAGCCACAGCAGCCCGUCCAGCCCCCAGCUCAUCCCCAGGAGUGGGCACCGAGCAGCUCUCAGCACCCAGACUGGUAUCUCAAAGCCACUUGAGAGAGGCUGUCUUCCCGGGACCACAGGACUCGCCCCCGGGAAGAGCCGCACAUCUUCCUGGGCCUCCCGCCCUGCACACUCCCAAGGAGUUCCGAAGCUCUCCAAGCCCCUCUGAGUGAGAGUCCACACAGUCUCCCGCGGGCUCUCUGAGCUUCCCUGCCAGCCAGGCCAGACUCACAGCAGCCAAUCAAAGGAGGCCAGGAGUGGCCCUCACUCCUUGGGAGUGGAUCCCAGAUCAGAGGAGCCCCCCCCCCGCCACCCCCUCCUGCCUCCCCUUCUCGGUGUGUCGCUGUUUGAAGCUUAAUCAGGUGCGUACCUGGCUUCUGGUGCUGUGGCGGGGAAGCCAGGCCAGAGGCUGUGGAAGGUGCUGCAGGGCAGGUGGGCAGCUGGGACCCCUGCAGCCCGCCCACCUUCCAUCCCCUUGAGCAGGAGCAGCGGGGCUGGAGGAGCAACCCCAGAGGUCACUGUGCAAGAGGCGGCUGAGGGAGGCGUCUGAGUUCCGUCCUGAAGUGCCCCACCCAGCUGGAGGAGUGAGGCCGGGAACUCGGUACUUGGGGCUUAGUCACUCCUGACGCUUUCCUACCCGAAGGAAAGGAAAACGGCCCGGCCACCUGCCGGCUGGGGCUGGGCACCCGCCUCUAAGGGGAGAUGCGGAGAUGAGCUGCCCUGGGGCGUUGGCAGCCACCGACCAUCUUCCCAUGGAUGUGGCCGCUGCAAGCCCGCUGCCACUGGGUUUGGCCUGAUGCCUGAUGCCUGCCAGCAUCCAGGGGCUAAAGCAUGGAUUUUCUCCGUGGAAAUCAGCUCAGGGAGGCUUCUUGGGAAAGAGCCAAAAUGUGAAGAGCGUGGCAGGGGAGCGCUUGGGCCCGCAUCUGAAUGAGGGCACAGGCGUGCACUGGUGCUGGGCGGUGGUUAAGGGCAUGGCCUCUGGGGCAGACUGCCUGGGUCAAAUCCCUGCUGCGUCACUUAGUAGCUCUGUGACCACAGGCCAUUUCUGUAUCUGGAUCUCUGUCCCAUCACCUGUUAAAUGGUCCAAAAAUAGCAUCUGCUUUGGGGCACAUGAGGUUGUGAAAAAGGAGUGAAGGGCUCAGACCAGUGCCCAGCACAGAGCAAAUACUAUAUAAAUAUUUUUGCUGUUUUCUUCAUACUAUUUACUAGAAACAUGAUUUCAGUUAAGUUCACUUUAGCUCUCCCGGCCUGUUUCCCCAUCUGUAAAACAAGGAUGCAGAGUUGCCUUGAAGUGAUUAAAUAAGUUGCCAGCACAUGGUGGGUGUCCAAUAAAGAGUAGUUUCCUUCCCUGUAAAGGGAGCCAAGAUUCUGUCCCUAUUAAAACCCCCGAUCUUCUCCCAUUAAUGCCUAUGUUGUUUUACUGCUCCCAGAGGAAUGAGCUUGGAUAGAAACAGCUUGUAUUUUCAGGCUGAGGGACCCUGUAUAGCUGCUCUGCCACAGACCGUAGACGAAGUAGACAAGGCUCGUGAGAGGGCCUGCUGGAUAAUAUUCUAGGGCCAUGCCGGCGAUACUCUCUUAGGGCCGCACGCAUGGCCUCUGAACCACCCCCCUGCUUUAGGCCACCUUGGGCGCCCCCGUGUGUCGGGGCGGUGCCAGCCCCGCAGGACACUGGGAUGCACGCAGCGUGGUCCUGACCUCUGCUUGGGAGAGCAAGAUGCCAGCAUGGGACGAGAAGGGAAAGCUCGGUGUCGCUUCUCGGAGGAGCAUCGGGUACUUCUUACAAGGUCUCCUGCUCUGCUGAUCCAGAGUGGGCAGAAUUGGUGCAAAUAGAUGAGCCAAGGGUCAGGAGUGCCCCCAGGCCCAGAGAGGAACCAGGGCCCUUGAGAAGGCGGACAGUAUUGCCCACAGUUGAUAUUCUGUGGCUACUUAAAGCAAUUCAACUUAUUAAUUCAUUCAAUGGCCUCCAUCAGGGCUACUGUGUGGGGAAAGCUUCUGUAGUCUAUUUCAGAGCCACACUUUUCUCUAGUGAGCUGCCUGAUACCGAUGCAAUGUGCUGCUGCUUGUUCAAAACAAAUAACAGAAUUCCAUGUUUAACCAUACUAUUUUAUGUAUCUGCAUAUAAUGAAAAUGUAAGUGAUAUGAAUCGGUUCACAAACUCAGGAAGAAAAUUAGUAGAUAUAAACAGAAAACCCAGUGCCUCUUUGUUGCGGGUCACUUACCCUAAAUUUUCCAAAAGGCUUGCGGACUCGGAGUUCCCAGGGGGAGUUGUAACUGGGAGUUCAAAAGUCCGCACUCAGGCAGUCACCACACAAAUGUCAUCAAUCUGACAUGCCAUCGCUCCUCGCUGCCACACGGUGGCGCCCUUAACCAGUUCUGUCCCAGUGACCCGAGGAGGGAUUCGUUCCCUCGCGCUGACCCGGUUCCGCCCAGGCUUCUCCGGAUAUUUGAGCGAGAAGGAUCCACAACUCAGGUUUUCUAAGUUCAGGCGAGAGGGCUCCUCAUCAGGUUCCCAGGCGUACAGUUCGUGGCGCUUGACCAGGUCUGAUUACACCCCAGUUCCUGCCUUCCCAGCAAUGGAACAUCACGGCCACCUUCCUACGACCCUCAAGAACAUCACCUUCCCAGGGACGACCAGCGUGACCCGCGGCACCUCCCCACCUGAGCAGGAGCUCAAUGCAGGGCGCUGAUUUGAACGUGCGAUGGGACAUGCCCUCCAACAAGCACCAUAAUUUAAUUAGAUGCUUUCAUUAGGUUAGAGCAAGCCCCUGUGGUCUUGCCGUUCCAAGGUGAAGCCACCAGGAGAAAUCCCGGGGACAGGUGCAGGAAGACCGGUGAAGAGGGAAGGGCACCAUCGACUAUCGUUAAUUAGUUCAGGAAUUUACUAACUGUGGAAACCUGGGCAAGUAACUUAACCCUUGUGAACCUUAGGUUCCUUACCUGUAAAACUGGAUGAUAUUAGCACCUACCUCACAAGAAUGGUGUGGAGUUAAAUGGGAUGAUUCACGUAAAGUGCCUAACACAGUGCCUUGGACACCACAAAUAAUAAAUGA